ACGUCGUGAGACAGUUCGGUCUCUAUCUGGUGCGGGCGUAGGAAGAUUGAGGGGUCCUGACUUUAGUACGAGAGGACCGAGUUGGACGAACCUCCGGUGUAUCGGUUAUGCUGCCAAGUGUACCGCCGAGUAGCCGCGUUCGGUUUGGAUAAGCGCUGAAAGCAUCUAAGCGCGAAGCCAUCCCCAAGAUGAGUCUUCCCUUGAGGGGCGUAGGAGACUACUACGUUGAUAGGUUGCAGAUGUAAAGACAGUGAUGUCAAAGUCGAGCAAUACUAAUUACCCGAAAGGCUUUUUUCAAAAG
rnacentral:rRNA from 1 species